CCUUCCUGACACCUGGCCCUGCCACCGCAGCCGGGGACUGCGCUCCGCUCCCCAGCUUCAAAGCUCCCAAGCCGACCGGCGCCUGGUCCUGCUGCAGCUGCCACCACUACGCGGGAGACUCCCGGAGGAGUUAUAAGAUGAAUUUGAGAAAGGAUGGUGAAAAAAAUAGGAAUCAAAUGGAAAACUUCUCAGAGACUACGU